AGUAAGUUGGUGGAAUAGUUUACACGUUCGGCUCAUGUCCGGAAUAUAUGAAGGUGCGAACCCUUUACUUGCGU
rfam:Triticum urartu cultivar G1812 contig925490, whole genome shotgun sequence.